rnacentral:lncRNA from 1 species
GAAAAUUAAAAGUCUACAAAAAGAAAACCACCAGCCAAAAUGAACAAAUGCCUAACAUUUUUCAUAUGUAAUUCAAAUCUUUAAAGUGAAAUAUAUUUUAUUUUUAGAGAUGUUUCAGGUUCACAGCAAAAGAAUGGAAAGUGGAAAAAUCCAGGGAUUUCCCAUAUCUCUCUCCCCCUCCCCCUACAGUCUCCCCUGUCACCAGUGGGGUACAUUUGUCACAAUCAGUGGACGAACAUUGACAUAUUAUUAAUUAAAGUCCCUAAUUUCUGUUAGGAUUUACUCUUGGUGUUGUACAUUCUAUAGAUCUGCACAAAUGUGUGAUGAUAUGAAUACACAAUUACAGUAUCAUACAGGGUAGUUUCGCUACCCUAAAAAUCUCUUGGUUUCUGGAAACCACUGAUCUUUUUACUAUCUCCCUAGUUUUGCUUUCUUCAUAAUGUCAUAUACUUGGAAUCAUACAAUAUUUAGCCUUUUCAGAUUGUCUUCUUUCAGUUAGUAAUAUGCAUCUGUUGCUUGUUCAUGGUUGGACAGCAAAUUCCUGUUUAGGGCUUGUUAUGGUUUGGAUGUGAGUUGUCCCCUAAAAGCUCACGUGUGAAACUAUGCAAGAAGGUUCAGAGGAGAAAUGAUUGGGUUGUGAGAAUUUUAACCCAAUCAGUGAAUUAAUCCCCAGAGAGGGAUUAACUGAGUGGUAACUGAAGUGGUGGGGUGUGGCUGGAGGAGAUGGGUAUUGGAGGCAUGGCUUUGGAGUAUAUAUUUUAUCUGUUGAGUGGAGACCUCUCUCUCUCUCUCUCUCUCUGCUUUCUGAUCAUCCUGUGAGCUGCUUCCCUCUGCCACACUCUUCCACCAUGAUGUCCCUCCUCACCCUGAGUCCCAGAGGAAUAGAGAGUCUGCUGUGUAUGGAUUGAGACCUCUGAAACCGUGAGCCCCCAAAUAAACUUUUACUUCCCUAAAAGUGUUCUGGUCAGAUCCUUUUAGUCACAGCAGUGAAAAGGCUGACUAAAACAGGGCUUGAUAAUAUUCCAUCGUCUGGAUGUACCAUAGUUUGUCUAUUCCCCUGCUGAAGAACAUCUUGGUUGCUUCCAAAUACGGGCAACUAUAAGUAAUUUGUUAUAAAUAUUCAUGUGCAUGUUUUUGUAUGAAUAUAAAGUUUCAACUCAUUUGGGUAAAUAUAAAAAAAACCACACUUACUGGAUCCUAUAGUAAGAAUAUGUUUAGUUUUUUAAAGAAAUUGCCAACUGUCUUCCAAAGUGACUGUACCAUUUUGCAUUCCCAUCAGCAAUGAAUGAUAGUUCCUGUUGCUUCACAUUUUGGCAGCAUUUGGUGUUCUCAGUGCUUUGGAUUUUGGCUACAUAGGUGUGCAGCGGUAUCUCAUUGUUUUAAUUUGCAAAUCCCUAAAGAUGCAUGAUGCUGAACAUCUUUUCAUAUGCUUAUUUACCAUCUGUGUACUUCCUUUGAUUAGGGGUUCAGCUCUUUUGCCCUUUUUACAUUGAGUUGUUUUCUUAUUGUUAAGUUUUAAGAGCUCUUUGUAUAUUUUGGAUAAGACACCUAUAUCAGAUAUGUCCUUUAUAAAUAUUUUCUCCUAGUCUGUGGCAGAUUUGUUUUUAAAGAGAUAAGACAUCAAAUAUAAAGUUUAAAUCUCCUCUAUUUCCCUUUUUGGUCCAAUGCUUUCCCUCCUCGAAAGAAAAAUUAUCAUGAAUUUAGGGGUCUGUACAGAGCAGAUUUUUAUGUAUAUACUAAAUGCAUUUGCAAAGAGUAUGUAAUAAAUUUGUGCUUUUAACAAUGACUUAAAAAAAUCUCAUACCAUACACUACAUUUCAAGGCCUUUUCUUACAGUCUAUCUAGGUUUUUCAGAGAUCUGUCCAUGUUAAUAAGUAUGGAUUUACUCAUUUAUUUUAACUGAUGUGGAGUAUUCUUUAACACGAAUAUAUCAUAUUUUGAUAUUCCUUCUCUGGAUUGCACAUUUCACUUAUUUCUAACUUUUUUCCUUAUGAACAAAUCUUCAAUGUCUCAUUUGUUUGUGAGAGUUUCUCUAGUAUGUGAGACUAGAAGUAGAGUUUCUCUGUUAUGGGAUGUGCACGUUUAUUUUUUAGCUGUCCUAGAAUAUUGCCAAAUUUCUUUUCACUAGGGUUAUGCCAAUUUACACAAAUGCUGUGAGAUGUUUGAAGUGCUGCUAUUUUUUUUCCUGUAUUUUAUCAUGUCUGUUUCUGGUGUUUCAAAUUUGUUCCACUGAUUUCUUGUCUAUCUCUAUGCCACUCUGGUCCCCCUUAUUUAUAACUUUAUAAAAAAUUUUGAUUUUUCAUAGAACAAAUCCUCUUGCUCAUUUUUCCUUUUCUGAAUUAUCUUGGAUAUUUGUCUACUUUUACUAUUCUUCAUACAUUUCAGAAUAGUGCUAAAAUACCCUAGAAACAUUCUCUUGGUAUUUUGAUUGGAA